rnacentral:rRNA from 1 species
GACGAACGCUGGCGGCGUGCUUAACACAUGCAAGUCGAACGGAAAGGCCCUGCUUUUGUGGGGUGCUCGAGUGGCGAACGGGUGAGUAACACGUGAGUAACCUGCCCUUGACUUUGGGAUAACUUCAGGAAACUGGGGCUAAUACCGGAUAGGAGCUCCUGCUGCAUGGUGGGGGUUGGAAAGUUUCGGCGGUUGGGGAUGGACUCGCGGCUUAUCAGCUUGUUGGUGGGGUAGUGGCUUACCAAGGCUUUGACGGGUAGCCGGCCUGAGAGGGUGACCGGCCACAUUGGGACUGAGAUACGGCCCAGACUCCUACGGGAGGCAGCAGUGGGGAAUAUUGCCCAAUGGUCGGAAGCCUGAUGCAGCAACGCCGCGUGCGGGAUGACGGCCUUCGGGUUGUAAACCGCUUUCGCCUGUGACGAAGCGUGAGUGACGGUAAUGGGUAAAGAAGCACCGGCUAACUACGUG